UACGUAGGGGGCUAGCGUUGUCCGGAAUCAUUGGGCGUAAAGAGCGUGUAGGCGGCCCGGUAAGUCCGCUGUGAAAGUCGGGGGCUCAACCCUCGAAUGCCGGUGGAUACUGUCGGGCUAGAGUGCGGAAGAGGCGAGUGGAAUUCCUGGUGUAGCGGUGAAAUGCGCAGAUAUCAGGAGGAACACCGGUGGCGAAGGCGCCACUCUGGGCCACGACUGACGCUGAGGAGCGAAAGCAUGGGUAGCAAACAGG
rnacentral:rRNA from 1 species